rnacentral:rRNA from 1 species
UACAGAGGUGGCAAGCGUUGUUCGGGAUUACUGGGCGUAAAGGGCGCGUAGGCGGCCAUCUAAGUCAGACGUGAAAUCCCCCGGCUUAACCUGGGAACUGCAUCCGAUACUGGCGGGCUUGAAUCCGGGAGAGGGAUGUGGAAUUCCAGGUGUAGCGGUGAAAUGCGUAGAUAUCUGGAGGAACACCGGUGGCGAAGGCGGCAUCCUGGACCGGUAUUGACGCUGAGGCGCGAAAGCUAGGGGAGCAAACGGG